UGGCUUUGAAGGAGCAGCGGGCGGGAACGGCUGCCGAGAAGAGACACUGCUGGAGAUGACCGACUGUAAGAGGCCCGCGCGCGGCGUGGGAUCGGGACCUUGAGUGUGGCGGGAGUCUCGAGAAAGCCACAUCUUAGGCUUGUGGGGCGACUUUUUCACGUCUGCCACACGUCUCAAGUGCCAAAGAAAUGGAUGAAACUGUUGCCGAGUUUAUCAAGAGGACCAUCUUGAAAAUCCCAAUGACUGAAAUGAUGACAAUCCUCAAAGCCUGGGAUUUUUUGCCUGAAAAUCAACUGCAGACAGUAAACUUCCGGCAGAGAAAGGAAUCUCUCGUUCAGGACUUGGUUCUGCUCUGUGAGAAUAAGCGUGCAAGUCUCCAUGACGCAGCCCUUUUAGACAUCAUUUAUACUCAAUUUCAUCGGCACCAGAAAGUUUGGGAUGUUUUUCAAAUGAGUAAAGAACCAGGUGAAGACGUUGACCUUUUUGAUAUGGAACAAUUCAAAAGUUCAUUUGAGAAAAUUCUUCGGAGAGCAUUAAAAAAUGUGACGGUCAGCUUCAGAGACGCUGAGGAGAAUGCAGUAUGGAUUCGAAUCGCCUGGGGAACACAGUACAGAAAGCCAAACCAGUACAAACCGGUUUUUGUGGUGUAUUAUUCCCAGACUCCCUACGCCUUCACUUCCUUCUGCCACCUGAAGAGCAAUACACCCCUUCUGAGUCAGGCGCUGACAGUUGCUAGCAAUCACCAUAAGAUUGUGAAAAUGGACCUCAGAAGCCGGUAUCUGGACUCUCUGAAGGCUAUUGUUUUCAAACAGUAUAAUCAGAAGUUUGAAACUCACAACUCCACUAUGCCUCUACAAGAAAACCUUGAGCUGGACAUGCACAUGGAUUCAAGGAUCAUUCAUGAAAACAGAAUCGAAAAAGAGAGAGUCCAGAGAGUGACUCAAGAAACUUUUGGAGACUAUCCUCAACCAAGACUAGAAUUUGCACAAUAUAAGGUACUCAUUUAGUUUUGUGUAACCAGCUGUGAUCUGUAUUUUUGAGGGGAAAAAAGUUGUGAGCUAUCCCCUUUCUAGCCCGUCCACACUUGCCUGUAGUCGGUGCUCAUAAAUAUUCAUUGAAUAAAAGAGUGAAUAAAGAAGUCGUGACAUACCUAGACCAGUUGGCAUCACCGGAGAGAAACCAGUAAGUAGCCUAGUCAAUACUAUAAACCUAGCUCAUUCCAGAACUGUGCCACUGCCCACCAGGAAGGCCAGGUUGGGGGCAAGCCCAUUGCCACCAUUAGAAAAAUUCAAGGUUUAUAUCACGAUUGCCCCGAUCUAAUACUGGCACUCCUACUCAUAACACCCUCCUCCCCUCUAGUAAAUUCUUUCUGCUCUGCACCCCCUACAGUUAUAGGCAGUGCUUUAAAUCCACCAUUGAUCUGCUCACCCAGGCCCAACACCUGUUUUCUUUGAUUUGUUUUUAGUGGGAAAAGCUGAUAUCUUUCAAGUUGGGCUCCCUACAUGACAGUUUUAACCCAGUUCCUUUGAACAACUCAUAGUCUAGGACACUGGUUCAUUGUGUGGUCUCUGGAGCCACCGUAUUAUAUCAGCAUCACUUGAGAACGGGUAAGAAAUGCAGAUUAUUGGCCCCACUGCACCAUGGUCCUACUGGAUCAGGGACUCUGGAGGUGGGACCCAGCCAUCUGUUCUUACAAGCUCUCUGGCUGAUUCUGCCUACUAAAGAGAACCACUGAGAAUAAGUAAGAAUCUGCAAAGCCCCCCGUGGAUACAAUUUAGAAGCGCUCUGUUCUGUAAGUCAGAGUGCACGUUGAUUCAUGCCUGCUAUUAAUUUUCCCUACCUUUUCUAUUUUGAAAAACGUCAAACCUUCAGAACACUUGCAAGGACAUUGCAAUGAACAUCCAUUUUCCCUUUGCUUCAGUUCACCAGUUGUUAACAUUUUGCACAUUUCCUUUCCUUCUUUUUCUUGAUUUCUUCUGAACCAUUUGAGUUAGUUGCAGACAAUACUCACCCUCUAAACAUUUCAAAAUACUGCCUGUAAAUUUUAAGAGGCACUUUAAGGAAAAGAAUUUUGAAAUUAGAAUCUAAGACUCCAGUACCUAUUGAAGCAGCCAGUGGAUAUUUGAUAUUAAAGGAUUGUUAGAUUGUCACUAAUUUUUCUAGGUCUGAUACUGUUACGGAGGUGAAGGUUUUAAAAGGAGUCCUUCUGGAGCGCCUCCUCGGUGGCUCAGUUGGUUGAGCCUCCACCUCUUGAUUUCGGCUCAGGUCAUGAUCCCAGGGUUGUGGGAUCGAGCCCCAUGUUGGGCUCUGUGCCGAGUGUGGAACCUGCUUAAAAUUCUCUCUCCCUCUGCCUCUGCCCCUCUCCACUACUUAUGCUUUCUCUCUAAAAAAUAAAAAAAUAUUAAAAAAAAAAAAAAAAAAAAGACCAGCGCCUGGGUGGUUCAGUCAGUUAAGCAUCCGACUUCAUCUGAGGUCAUGAUCUCACUGUUUGUGGGUUUGAGCCCCAUGUCAGGCUCUGUGAUGACGGCUCAGAGCCUGGAGCCUGCUUUGGAUUCUGUGUCUCCCUCUCUCUCUGCCCCUCCCCUGCUCGCACUCUGUCUCUCUCUGUCAAAAAUAAACAAACAUUAAAAAAAAAUUUAAAAAGAGUCCUUCUUAGGUCUUUUCUAGGUACUGAAUGUUUACAGAUGGAAUACCAUCGCGUCUGGGGUUUACUGCAGAAUAGUCCCGUGGCAGUGGUCAGUAUGGAACAGGAGGUGGGCUGGUAGAAGACUAGCCAUGAACUGAUAAUGGUUUCAGCCGGGUGACGUGCACAUGGGGACUCAUUGCCUGUGCUCCUUACUUUUGUGUAUUUUUGAAAUCUUCCAUAAUCAGGUAAAAACAAACCAUGGUAGUGACUCGAAAGACAUGACAUUUUUACAUCGAAAUGACAGAUUUCAAAAGAUAGUGCAAAUUUGCCAGUAAGAAUGCAAACUAAAUACUCAGGUGAAGAUCACCCGGGGGUAGAGUUGACCUCCAAGGUCUCCUGUGUGCGGGCACUGUGCAUACAUGGCAUUUUGUGGAUGAUGCCUUUUGACACACGGGUUGCCCUCUACGUUUGCAGUUAGCAAAUUAAAUGGCUCCCGCCCCCGUCGAUCCCUGUAUUUCUUGAGGACAAGAAUUAAUGAAACACAUCACCUGAUUUAAUUACAGUUUGCCAUCACCGCUGAUAUAUUUAGUAGUUAUUUAUAAAUAAAUUUGU